UGGGGAAUAUUGCGCAAUGGGGGAACCCUGACGCAGCCAUGCCGCGUGAAUGAAGAAGGCCUUAGGGUUGUAAAGUUCUUUCGGUAUUGAGGAAGGUUGAUGUGUUAAUAGCACAUCAAAUUGACGUUAAAUACAGAAGAAGCACCGGCUAACUCCGUGCCAGCAGCCGCGGUAAUACGGAGGGUGCGAGCGUUAAUCGGAAUAACUGGGCGUAAAGGGCACGCAGGCGGUUAUUUAAGUGAGGUGUGAAAGCCCCGGGCUUAACCUGGGAAUUGCAUUUCAGACUGGGUAACUAGAGUACUUUAGGGAGGGGUAGAAUUCCACGUGUAGCGGUGAAAUGCGUAGAGAUGUGGAGGAAUACCGAAGGCGAAGGCAGCCCCUUGGGAAUGUACUGACGCUCAUGUGCGAAAGCGUGGGGAGCAAACAGGAUUAGAUACCCUGGUAGUCCACGCUGUAAACGCUGUCGAUUUGGGGGUUGGGGUUUAACUCUGGCGCCCGUAGCUAACGUGAUAAAUCGACCGCCUGGGGAGUACGGCCGCAAGGUUA
rnacentral:rRNA from 1 species